GAUGAGUGUCAAAGAUUUGCAGUCAUUGUUUUAAAAACCACCACAGUGACAGUUACUGAGCCCGUCCUUGGUGCUAGGUAGCGCCUAAAUGCACAACCGGCCAAGACUGUGGGAAGGUGUUGGGAGUGAGCAUCCCAUCCAACAGAAGAGGAAACUGAGGCACAGACAGGGUGGAGGCACCAAGGCCUUGACCUGUCCAGGGUGGUGUAGCUGGCUGGUGGAGCCAGGAUCAACACGGC
rnacentral:lncRNA from 1 species